rnacentral:rRNA from 1 species
UUUUUUAAUUGAAAACUUGUAUGAAUGGUUGAAUGAGAUAUUAACUGUUUCAUAAAAAUUUUAAUAGAAUUUAUUUUUUUAGUUAAAAAACUAAAAUUUAAUUAAAGGACGAGAAGACCCUAUAAAAUUUAAUAAAUAUUUAAAUUAUUUAAUUUUAAAAGAAUUUUUAAAAUAUUAAUUUAUUAUUUAUUUUGUUGGGGUGAUUAUAUAAUUUAAUAAACUUAUAAUUGUUUAAACAUAAAUUUAUGAAUAUUUGAUUUUGUAUUAUGAAUUAAAAGAUUAAAUUACUUUAGGGAUAACAGCGUAAUUUUAUUUUUAAGUUCUUAUUUAUAAUAAAGAUUGC